GACGAACGCUGGCGGCGUGCUUAACACAUGCAAGUCGAACGGAAAGGCCCUGCUUUUGUGGGGUGCUCGAGUGGCGAACGGGUGAGUAACACGUGAGUAACCUGCCCUUGACUUUGGGAUAACUUCAGGAAACUGGGGCUAAUACCGGAUAGGAGCUCCUGCUGCAUGGAGGGGGUUGGAAAGUUUCGGCGGGUUGGGAUGGACUCGCGGCUUAUCAGCUUGUUGGUGGGGUAGUGGCUUACCAAGGCUUUGACGGGUAGCCGGCCUGGGAGGGUGACCGGCCACAUUGGGACUGAGAUGCGGCCCAGACUCCUACGGGAGGCAGCAGUGGGGAAUAUUGCACAAUGGGCGGAAGCCUGAUGCAGCAACGCCGCGUGCGGGAUGGCGGCCUUCGGGUUGUAAACCGCUUUCGCCUGUGACGAAGCGUGAGUGACGGUAAUGGGUAAAGAAGCACCGGCUAACUACGUG
rnacentral:rRNA from 1 species